AUUGAACGCUGGCGGCAUGCCUUACACAUGCAAGUCGAACGGCAGCACGGGAGCAAUCCUGGUGGCGAGUGGCGAACGGGUGAGUAAUAUAUCGGAACGUGCCCAGUAGUGGGGGAUAGCCCGGCGAAAGCCGGAUUAAUACCGCAUACGACCUGUGGGUGAAAGCGGGGGAUCGCAAGACCUCGCGCUAUUGGAGCGGCCGAUAUCAGAUUAGCUAGUUGGUGGGGUAAAGGCCCACCAAGGCGACGAUCUGUAGCUGGUCUGAGAGGACGACCAGCCACACUGGAACUGAGAGACGGACCAGACUCCUACGGGAGGCAGCAGUGGGGAAUAUUGGACAAUGGGGGGCAACCCUGAUCCAGCGAUGCCGCGUGUGUGAAGAAGGCCUGAGGGUUGUAAAGCACUUUAGUUGGGGAGGAAGAAUCCAGAGAUGAAUAAGCUAUGGAAAUGACGUUACCAAAGAAUAAGCACCGGCUAACUACGUGCCAGCAGCCGCGGUAA
rnacentral:rRNA from 1 species